rnacentral:rRNA from 1 species
UACGAAGGGUGCAAGCGUUACUCGGAAUUACUGGGCGUAAAGCGUGCGUAGGUGGUGAGUUAAGUCUGUCGUGAAAGCCCCGGGCUCAACCUGGGAAUGGCGAUGGAUACUGGCUCGCUAGAGUCCGGUAGGGGAGUGUGGAAUUCCCGGUGUAGCGGUGAAAUGCGCAGAUAUCGGGAGGAACACCCGUAGCGAAGGCGGCACUCUGGGCCGUGACUGACGCUGAGGAGCGAAAGCGUGGGGAGCGAACAGG